CAUGCUUUUCGUAAUUGGAAUAAUAUUCACCUUCUUCGCUAUAGAUAUGGCAAUGUAUGUCACAAGUGAUUAUUCAGUAAUAAUCACAACACUUUUAGGAGCAGCUAUGACUAUUUUUAUGGCUUUUUCUGGUGGUCAGAAAGUACUAGAUGCGUCCAUGUACGUUUCUCAAGCUACACUAGAUUGUCCAUGGAAUUGCUGGAACACAAGCAACCGAAAAAUGUUUCAAAUAUUUUUGUGUAAUUUACAAAAACCCAUGCAUAUUGGAAGCGGAAAUAUAGUGCCCCUGGAGUACAAUUUUUUCGUGAAAAUUUUUAACUUACUUUUUUCUGUUUGGAGAUUUUUCGACACAGUGAAUAAUAG